AUCUCCACCCGAGUCCACACACGCACAGAUGGGAUGGAUCAUGGGCUCUGCAUUCGCCGGCUACUGGGACGAUCGGUAAUUAUUGAUUUGAUUGCGAGCAGACAGUUGGGAGCAAGUGGUGGGUUGUGGGUGGCGACUAGCACUCAAAUCCGAUUAUCAGAUCAGCUAGCCAGCUACAGCAGUCGAUCAUCGGAGGAGCAAGUCAAAGGAAAGGAAAGGCGUGGCGUGGCGUGGCGUGGCAUUAGAAAAAAAAUAUACUGUACUAACAUACAUAAUAAUGAUAAUUUUGGCGAACCACAUCUCGGGAUUCGGACUGAGUUGGGUUAAUUUCGCAGAUAGACCGACCGACACUCGCUUUGUUUUUCUACGGAGUGCAGUACAGAGAGAGUCUUGUCCUCUUCGAGACUCGCAGUAAGUUAUCCGUUCCGUUGUCGACACGCCCCCAGAAUACAUUAUUUUGGCUCCUGGGACAUGUGGCGCUCCGCCACAAUCAGUCAAACAGAGCGUAAAUCCAGAAUGGAAAAAGAAACAACUCCAAUGAAAGGGUCAAAACGGACAAGGCUCGGCGUGUGGCCGCGUGUCAAAUAGGACUGGCUAUAUUAACAAUUUGAGACAAUGACCUGAAUGAACGAAUGCCCUUCCGUUCAUCCGUUCGUUCUCUCCAGCCAACAGGGGAUCUGAUUGGACACCAUGACUAUCCGCAUUACCACAUUCUGAAAAUAGCCUUUUGGUACCAAGAUUCGCCAAGACUUGCCGGCUCUGCUUGGAAGGUUUGAUGGAGUGGAGAAGGGAAAAAAAUAAAAUAGAAUUGAAUAAAAUGAAAAAAAAAAAAAAAAAAAAAAAAAAAGAAUGUGACGGUCGAAUCGACGAAUAACUCAGCGUGCUUGGGUGUUCUCCAUACCUGGCGACCGGGACGCACCAUAUCAUAUAGGUCGACGAGGAAAACCUUGUUGUGUACUUUAAAGCAAGGUGUGCCGCCCUGCAUUCUUCGACCAGCAUGCAUCAUCCGCUCAGGCAAAGCAAAGUCAACAUGAAUCAUGAUUCUGGAUCAGUCCAUACGGCAAGGCUUGGCUGGCUUGGCUUUGCUCAAUCUAGCCUUGGGUUGGGAAUGGGACGUGUUGCAGUUUUGUGCAACUUGAGAGACAUACAUACUGAUUCGGUAUGUGUAGCAGUAAUUAAUUAAUUUGCUCGUUCCAGAAACGAAACAUCGUCUGUCUGUACAUAUUUACAUACUACGUACAUAGUAGUACUCCGUACAACGGAGUAGCCAGCUAGUUGACUCGGCUCAGAGAGUCAGUGUCUUGAUCUCGUCAAGUGAUGACACCUUCCACCUUCCACUCCAACCUCUAACAUCCAACAUCUAACAAACCAAACCCAAGAAAUAAUAAGCGGGCUGGCCAAUCGAUCAAACAAGGGAAUACGUACCGAGGAAUGAUACGUACGGUACGGGACGGAUUGUCACACGCGCGACGUGAGUGGCCACUAUAAGACGGUAAUUAUGAAUUACGCCACGUAGUAUAUACGCUGUAAUACCGACCAGUAAUAAGAUUGACACCAUUGGGAAGCUUAAGCUUAAUCCAACACGAGGCAUUAGACGCUAGUCUAGUUGCUUCAGCCCACUUGAGUUUUGUGGCUGGCUAAUGUACAGGAUCCUGUGCUAGGCAACUAACUAACUUAGUUAGUACGCUCAGCCUAAUAGCCUACCUAUGCUGGGCAAGUUACUCCGUAUUACGAUGGGAUGUACGAGGACCGGCGCUAGUCCCGUUGGGGAAAUAUUAGACUUGUCAGGGCAUUAGGGCGGUGGCCAAAGCUCAGGCUAGCCAAGUCUUGGUGCGCCCCCUCUGCGUGACGAGGACUGAACCCUGACAGGACAGAUUGCGCGUAUUUAGUUUUGCUGCGAGUAUGUGAGUAUGUAUUUACGUCGAUUCUCUCC
rnacentral:lncRNA from 1 species